rnacentral:rRNA from 1 species
UACGUAGGUGGCAAGCGUUAGCCGGAAUUAUUGGGCGUAAAGCGCGCGCAGGCGGUUUCUUAAGUCUGAUGUGAAAGCCCACGGCUCAACCGUGGAGAGUCAUUGGAAACUGGGGAACUUGAGUGCAGAAGAGAAAAGCGGAAUUCCACGUGUAGCGGUGAAAUGCGUAGAGAUGUGGAGGAACACCAGUGGCGAAGGCGGCUUUUUGGUCUGUAACUGACGCUGAGGCGCGAAAGCGUGGGGAGCAAACAGGG